rnacentral:rRNA from 1 species
CCUACGGGAGGCAGCAGUGGGGAAUAUUGCGCAAUGGGCGAAAGCCUGACGCAGCGACGCCGCGUGAGGGAUGAAGGUCUUCGGAUCGUAAACCUCUGUCAGCAGGGAAGAACGGUCACUGUGCUAAUCAGCAGUGACUUGACGGUACCUGCAAAGGAAGCACCGGCUAACUCCGUGCCAGCAGCCGCGGUAAUACGGAGGGUGCGAGCGGUAAUCGGAAUUACUGGGCGUAAGGCGCUCGUAGGCGGUAUGUCAAGUCAAGGGUGAAAUCCCCGGGCUCAACGUGGGAACUGCCUUUGAAACUGGCAAACUGGAGUGUGUGAGAGGAUAGUGGAAGUCCAGGGGUAGGAGUGAAAUCCGUAGAUAUCUGGAGGAACAUCAGUGGCGAAGGCGACUAUCUGGCACAUAACUGACGCUGAGGAGCGAAAGCGUGGGUAGCAAACAGGAUUAGAUACCCCUGUAGUC